GUAAUUGUGUUUCCUCUUGAACUUGCUGCUGACCUCCGCUGCUGCCAAGAGUCUCCGUCUGGCCUUUCAACUGAACUGAAAGUCAGACAGAGACUCUGCAGGGAGUUCCAGGCCUUCAUUGCUAGAUGGGGACUGCUGAGA
ensembl:miRNA Mir6325 microRNA 6325